GGAUGUGAGGGUGAUCUGGCUGCGACAUCUGUCACCCCAUUGAUCGCCAGGGUUGAUUCGGCUGAUCUGGCUGGCUAGGCGGGUGUCCCCUUCCUCCCUCACCGCUCCAUGUGCGUCCCUCCCAAAGCUGCGCGCUUGGUCGAAGAGGAUGGCCUUCCCCAGUAGAGACGGACCGGUCUUCAGUCGAGGGUAUACGAGUAGCUGCGCUCCCCUGCUAGAACCUCCAAACAAGCUCUCAAGAAAGGAAAAUAAGUAAAAGGAAAGAAAGAAAGAAAGAAAGAAAGAAA
rnacentral:snRNA from 1 species